UCUCCGUUGGUGAACCAGCGGAGGGAUCAUUACAAGAGAGUUGAAAAACUCCCAAACCCACUGUGAACCUACCUGUAUUUUCUGCUUCGGCGGGCAGCCCCAGGGCGGGGCCGCGCGCCCGGGGUUGUACCCGGGUGCCCGCCGAAAGCAACAAAAACUCUGUUUUUUCAGUGUCUUCUGAGCUAUAAAACAAACAAGUUAAAACUUUCAACAACGGAUCUCUUGGUUCUGGCAUCGAUGAAGAACGCAGC
rnacentral:misc_RNA from 1 species